rnacentral:rRNA from 1 species
CACGUAGGGGGCAAGCGUUGUCCGGAUUUAUUGGGCGUAAAGAGCUCGUAGGCGGUUCGGUAAGUCGGGUGUGAAACCUCCAGGCUCAACCUGGAGAGGCCACCUGAUACUGCUGUGACUCGAGUCCGGUAGGGGAGCGUGGAAUUCCUGGUGUAGCGGUGAAAUGCGCAGAUAUCAGGAGGAACACCAGCGGCGAAGGCGACUACCUGGCCUGUUCUUGACGCUGAGGCGCGAAAGCUAGGGGAGCAAACGGG